rnacentral:rRNA from 1 species
GUCAAAUCAUCAUGCCCCUUAUGUCCAGGGCUUCACGCAUGCUACAAUGGCCGGUACAGAGGGCUGCGAUGUCGUGAGGCGGAGCGAAUCUCUUAAAGCUGGUCGUAGUCCGGAUCGCAGUCUGCAACUCGGCUGCGUGAAGUCGGAAUCGCUAGUAAUCGUGAAUCAGCGAUGUCACGGUGAAUACGUUCCCGGGUCUU